rnacentral:rRNA from 1 species
GACGAACGCUGGCGGCGUGCUUAACACAUGCAAGUCGAACGGAAAGACCCGGCUCUUGCUGCUUGCUCGUGUGCCGAACGCGUGAGUGACACGCGUGUAACCUCCCCUUGUCUUUGUGAUAUCUUCUGGGAACUGGGGCUAUUACCGGGUAGGAGCUCCUGCACCAUAGUGUGGGUUGGAAAGUUUCGGCGGUUGGGGAUGGAAUCGCGGCUUAUCAGCUUGUUGGUGGGGUAGUGGCUUACAAAGCCUUUGACGGGUAGCCGGCCUGAGAGGGUGACCGGCCACAUUGGGACUGCGAGAGGGCCCAGACUCCAACGGGAGGCAGCAGGGGGGAAUAUUGCACAAUGGGCGGAAGCCUGAGGUAGCAACGCCGCGUGCGGAAAGACGGCCUUCGGGGGGAAAACCGCUGUCGCCGGUGACGAAGCGUGAGUGACGGUAAUGGGUAAAGAAGCACCGGCUAACUACGUG